rnacentral:rRNA from 1 species
GACGAACGCUGGCGGCGUGCCUAAUACAUGCAAGUUGAGCGCUGAAGGUUGGUACUUGUACCAACUGGAUGAGCAGCGCACGGGUGAGUAACGCGUGGGGAAUCUGCCUUUGAGCGGGGGACAACAUUUGGAAACGAAUGCUAAUACCGCAUAAAAACUUUAAACACAAUGUUUAAGUGUGAAAGAUGCAAUUGCAUCACUCAAAGAUGAUCCCGCGUUGUAUUAGCUAGUUGGUGAGGUAAAGGCUCACCAAGGCGAUGAUACAUAGCCGACCUGAGAGGGUGGUCGGCCACAUUGGGACGGAGACACGGCCCAAACUCCUACGGGAGGGAGCAGGAGGGAAUCUUCGGCAAGAGACGAAAGUCUGACCGAGCAACGCCGCGUGAGUGAAGAAGGGUGUCGGAUCGUAAAACUCGGUUGGUAGAGAAGAACGUUGGUGAGAGUGGAAAGCUCAUCAAGUGACGGUAACUACCCAGAAAGGGACGGCUAACUACGUG